rnacentral:rRNA from 1 species
AGCAGUCGCCGCGGUAAUACGGAGGGGGCUAGCGUUGUUCGGAAUUACUGGGCGUAAAGCGCACGUAGGCGGCUUGGUAAGUUAGAGGUGAAAGCCCGGAGCUCAACUCCGGAAUUGCCUUUAAGACUGCCGAGCUAGCAGGUGAGAGAGGUAAGUGGAAUUCCGAGUGUAGAGGUGAAAUUCGUAGAUAUUCGGAAGAACACCAGUGGCGAAGGCGGCUUACUGGCUCAUACUGGACGCUGAGGUGCGAAAGCGUGGGGAGCAAACAGGAUUAGAUACCCCGGUAGUCCCUGUCUCUUAUAC